UCCAAGUUGCAGCUGUUCUCCUCCGCUGCUCACAUCUGUGUACGCCGGACGCUAGUGUGGCUCAUGUUGCUGCACAACUGAUGUUGAAUCAUGUCGAUAACAACCCUCCUGCUCUGACAACGCCAACCUAGCCUUAGUGACGGAGCUGAUGGCCAUGAAGUUCACGUUCUGAAUGAGGAGGGGUUGUGGGCUGAUGGCCAAGGUUUUAGAAGACGUUAUAGCCAUACUAAUGCUGCUGAAGCAAACACCUCUUCAGCAUUCCAUCCCUGGAGUGAUGGUGUGGCACUAUAGUGGACGAUCUUGUGCAAGAUGUUUGCUCAGCACCAUGGAGUCGAGUGCCAAGAGCACCUAGGUGCUCGUACUACCUCAUGGCCCCUCGUAGUUCGCAUGUUUGAGAUCGAUGAUUGGACAUGUUAAUGUAGUGGUUCUGGGCUUUUGAUUCUCUUGUUUUUUUCAAAGUGCCUGUACCCUGCAAAAAGCUUUGUAUUGCAAGGACAAGUCUUGCUUGUUCGUUGAAAUUUGCUUAUACAAAGUAAAUUUGUUUGAAAACAAAUGAAAUUUAUGGUUAUAAAACUUUGGAUCAU